GGGUUGUGAGGUUAAGCGACUAAGCGUACACGGUGGAUGCCCUGGCAGUCAGAGGCGAUGAAGGACGUGCUAAUCUGCGAUAAGCGCCGGUAAGGUGAUAUGAACCGUUAUAACCGGCGAUUUCCGAAUGGGGAAACCCAGUGUGAUUCGUCACACUAUCAUUAACUGAAUCCAUAGGUUAAUGAGGCGAACCGGGGGAACUGAAACAUCUAAGUACCCCGAGGAAAAGAAAUCAACCGAGAUUCCCCCAGUAGCGGCGAGCGAACGGGGAGGAGCCCAGAGCCUGAAUCAGCAUGUGUGUUAGUGGAAGCGUCUGGAAAGGCGCGCGAUACAGGGUGACAGCCCCGUACACAAAAGCGCAUGUGCUGUGAGCUCGAUGAGUAGGGCGGGACACGUGGUAUCCUGUCUGAAUAUGGGGGGACCAUCCUCCAAGGCUAAAUACUCCUGACUGACCGAUAGUGAACCAGUACCGUGAGGGAAAGGCGAAAAGAACCCCGGCGAGGGGAGUGAAAAAGAACCUGAAACCGUGUACGUACAAGCAGUGGGAGCACCCUUUGGGGUGUGACUGCGUACCUUUUGUAUAAUGGGUCAGCGACUUAUAUUCUGUAGCAAGGUUAACCGUAUAGGGGAGCCGCAGGGAAACCGAGUCUUAACCGGGCGUUAAGUUGCAGGGUAUAGACCCGAAACCCGGUGAUCUAGCCAUGGGCAGGUUGAAGGUUGGGUAACACUAACUGGAGGACCGAACCGACUAAUGUUGAAAAAUUAGCGGAUGACCUGUGGCUGGGGGUGAAAGGCCAAUCAAACCGGGAGAUAGCUGGUUCUCCCCGAAAGCUAUUUAGGUAGCGCCUCGUGAAUUCAUCUCCGGGGGUAGAGCACUGUUUCGGCUAGGGGGCCAUCCCGGCUUACCAACCCGAUGCAAACUGCGAAUACCGGAGAAUGUUAUCACGGGAGACACACGGCGGGUGCUAACGUCCGUCGUGAAGAGGGAAACAACCCAGACCGCCAGCUAAGGUCCCAAAGUCAUGGUUAAGUGGGAAACGAUGUGGGAAGGCCCAGACAGCCAGGAUGUUGGCUUAGAAGCAGCCAUCAUUUAAAGAAAGCGUAAUAGCUCACUGGUCGAGUCGGCCUGCGCGGAAGAUGUAACGGGGCUAAACCAUGCACCGAAGCUGCGGCAGCGACGCUUAUGCGUUGUUGGGUAGGGGAGCGUUCUGUAAGCCUGCGAAGGUGGCCUGUGAGGGUUGCUGGAGGUAUCAGAAGUGCGAAUGCUGACAUAAGUAACGAUAAAGCGGGUGAAAAGCCCGCUCGCCGGAAGACCAAGGGUUCCUGUCCAACGUUAAUCGGGGCAGGGUGAGUCGACCCCUAAGGCGAGGCCGAAAGGCGUAGUCGAUGGGAAACGGGUUAAUAUUCCCGUACUUGGUGUUACUGCGAAGGGGGGACGGAGAAGGCUAUGUUGGCCGGGCGACGGUUGUCCCGGUUUAAGCGUGUAGGUGUGUGUUCCAGGUAAAUCCGGUUCACUUUAACACUGAGGCGUGACGACGAGGCACUACGGUGCUGAAGCAACAAAUGCCCUGCUUCCAGGAAAAGCCUCUAAGCAUCAGGUAACACGAAAUCGUACCCCAAACCGACACAGGUGGUCAGGUAGAGAAUACCAAGGCGCUUGAGAGAACUCGGGUGAAGGAACUAGGCAAAAUGGUGCCGUAACUUCGGGAGAAGGCACGCUGACACGUAGGUGAAGUGAUUUACUCACGGAGCUGAAGUCAGUCGAAGAUACCAGCUGGCUGCAACUGUUUAUUAAAAACACAGCACUGUGCAAACACGAAAGUGGACGUAUACGGUGUGACGCCUGCCCGGUGCCGGAAGGUUAAUUGAUGGGGUCAGCGCAAGCGAAGCUCCUGAUCGAAGCCCCGGUAAACGGCGGCCGUAACUAUAACGGUCCUAAGGUAGCGAAAUUCCUUGUCGGGUAAGUUCCGACCUGCACGAAUGGCGUAAUGAUGGCCAGGCUGUCUCCACCCGAGACUCAGUGAAAUUGAACUCGCUGUGAAGAUGCAGUGUACCCGCGGCAAGACGGAAAGACCCCGUGAACCUUUACUAUAGCUUGACACUGAACAUUGAGCCUUGAUGUGUAGGAUAGGUGGGAGGCUUUGAAGUGUGGACGCCAGUCUGCAUGGAGCCGACCUUGAAAUACCACCCUUUAAUGUUUGAUGUUCUAACGUGGACCCGUGAUCCGGGUUGCGGACAGUGUCUGGUGGGUAGUUUGACUGGGGCGGUCUCCUCCUAAAGAGUAACGGAGGAGCACGAAGGUUGGCUAAUCCUGGUCGGACAUCAGGAGGUUAGUGCAAUGGCAUAAGCCAGCUUGACUGCGAGCGUGACGGCGCGAGCAGGUGCGAAAGCAGGUCAUAGUGAUCCGGUGGUUCUGAAUGGAAGGGCCAUCGCUCAACGGAUAAAAGGUACUCCGGGGAUAACAGGCUGAUACCGCCCAAGAGUUCAUAUCGACGGCGGUGUUUGGCACCUCGAUGUCGGCUCAUCACAUCCUGGGGCUGAAGUAGGUCCCAAGGGUAUGGCUGUUCGCCAUUUAAAGUGGUACGCGAGCUGGGUUUAGAACGUCGUGAGACAGUUCGGUCCCUAUCUGCCGUGGGCGCUGGAGAACUGAGGGGGGCUGCUCCUAGUACGAGAGGACCGGAGUGGACGCAUCACUGGUGUUCGGGUUGUCAUGCCAAUGGCACUGCCCGGUAGCUAAAUGCGGAAGAGAUAAGUGCUGAAAGCAUCUAAGCACGAAACUUGCCCCGA
rnacentral:rRNA from 1 species